rnacentral:rRNA from 1 species
AUGAACGCUGGCGGCGUGCCUAAUCCAUGCAAGUCGAGCGAACGGACGAGAAGCUUGCUUCUCUGAUGUUAGCGGCGGACGGGUGAGUAACACGUGGAUAACCUACCUAUAAGACUGGGAUAACUUCGGGAAACCGGAGCUAAUACCGGAUAAUAUUUUGAACCGCAUGGUUCAAAAGUGAAAGACGGUCUUGCUGUCACUUAUAGAUGGAUCCGCGCUGCAUUAGCUAGUUGGUAAGGUAACGGCUUACCAAGGCAACGAUGCAUAGCCGACCUGAGAGGGUGAUCGGCCACACUGGAACUGGGACACGGUCCAGACUCCUACGGGAGGCAGCAGUAGGGAAUCUUCCGCAAUGGGCGAAAGCCUGACGGAGCAACGCCGCGUGAGUGAUGAAGGUCUUCGGAUCGUAAAACUCUGUUAUUAGGGAAGAACAUAUGUGUAAGUAACUGUGCACAUCUUGACGGUACCUAAUCAGAAAGCCACGGCUAACUACGUG